UUAAGGGGUGGACAUCAACAGCAGAAAAAAAAUGGCUGCUACUCUUUGACGUCAGUGCGUUUGGUACGCCUCGGCCAGGCACGCAGCGGGCAUCAUAGAGCUGGGGGUUCCGUUUAGGAUGGGUUAAGAUGCCUCCCGGAUUAUUCAAAAUGCAAGGAACGGUGUGUUCCGUCUGUGUUCGUGUUUUCAAAUGGUGCCCAGUGCUGUUCAUCACGACCAUAGUAGCCUGGUCCUACUACGCGUAUGUCAUCCAACUGUGUUUGUUUACCAUUGAGAACGUAAUCCAAAAGAUAUUUUACCUGAUUGGAUUUCAUGCCUGUUUUGCCAUGUUCGCUUGGUCGUACUGGCAGACCAUAUUCACAGAGCCAGGUACCAUUCCAAAGCAAUUCUACCUGUCACCAGCAGAUGCUGAGCACCUGGAAAAGGAACUCAGCGAAGAUAAUCAAAGGCAAAUGCUGGAAAGGCUUGCCAAAAACCUUCCCGUCUCAUGUCGCACCAUGAAUGGGAUGGUGAGAUAUUGUGAGAAGUGCCACCUCAUCAAGCCUGACAGAGCACACCACUGUUCAGUAUGUGGGAGGUGUAUACUGAAAAUGGACCAUCAUUGCCCUUGGGUGAACAACUGUGUGUCUUUCACAAACUACAAGUACUUCAUUCUCUUCUUGGCCUACUCCUUAAUCUACUGCCUUUUCGUGGCUGCUACGACACUGCAGUUCUUCAUAAAGUUCUGGACGAAUGACCUUGAAGGCUGGGGACGUUUCCACAUUUUGUUUUUGUUUUUCGUUGCUUUCAUGUUUGCCAUCAGCUUGGUCUCACUGUUUGGCUAUCACUGCUUCCUCGUCAUGGUGAACCGCUCUACACUCGAGGCAUUCCGGCCACCAAUAUUUCGCACUGGGCCAGACAAGCACGGCUUCAGUCUUGGCCACCAGGCCAAUGUGGCCGAGGUAUUUGGUGACAACCGUCGUCUCUGGCUUCUACCAGUUUUCACGAGCCUGGGUGAUGGGGUGACUUAUCCAACACGCACCCAACUGGCCAGUUCGUACAACUCCAUGGGGAGCACGGAGCAGGCAAGGCGAAAAACUCGGUCUACAAGGGAAAGCAAGACACUCCUUUUGGAUGAAUGCUUGGGAGACGGCGUCACUUUCCCACAGAAGAUUGUGGAUGAGGACACAGAUGGGCUCUUAAAUCAAAGGCAGAGAUGGGCUGAAACUGAUGAAGAAGCAGGUCAUUCCGAUGCCUCUGGGAAUAGCAUGAAUGCAGAGGUCACAGCACUGCUUGAAUGAGCUGCUCCCAACUCUGUGUGUGUACCUUUGCGUGUGGUAACGCUGCGCCUCGUGAUAGGGAAUGUCAGCACCAGUGUCCAGAGCUGAAAAGAUGCACAUUGCAGAUGGCGAUCAUCCGGUCUAAGCCAGCUGGAAUUUUUUUUAAUUCAAGCAACGGCCCUGGGCGGCGCACAACUCGACCUUGCUGCAGGAACAAUGCAAGACUAAUUCCGUUGCUGCCUCCUGACCCCUUGCGUUCCUGCCUCCGUAGAUUGAUUUGUAGCAUCAAAGAGGCUCACUGCCACCAUUAUGGCGUCACUUGCAUGCCAGCCCUCUUGAGGGGAACGGAGGCUGCACGCGUUAGCCGCAAUUGGAGAGCUGGGAUGCUCUUUAAUUCUUCCCAUCCAAUAAAAAAACAAACAUAGCAUCCUCUGCAAAUAACAGCUACUGCUAGUCUCUGUGUUGAGAGGCCAGCAGUUGAGCUCAACAUGCUUUUUUUAAAUGCAUAAUGUUAAUAGUAUAUGUGUUGUGUACUGAAUUGCAUUGUUGCAGGUAUGUAAGCCAAGGUGAUUGAGCCACACACUGUUGCACUGUGUGCUUGUGUAACCUUUGGCAUGUCAUUGUGAUUUUUUUUUAAAUUUAUUGCCUUACAAUAAAAAAAAUAUUUCUUUUCAGACCUCAUUUUGUUUUACUCAAUAGCGAUAAACCUUUUAUUGUAUCACUUCAUAUAUCUUUUUCUUAUCAAGCCUUUCCUGCAUAGUUUAAACCAGAAUGCUGUUUUUUUUUUGUUUUUGUAUGUCACUUGACCUACAGAAGUAAAUAAGCGGUCUUUAUGGGUCUUGUACGCAGGGCAAUUAGAUGCAUGUGCGUUUGGUAGCAUUGUAUUUGGAUACUAGCUAUUCUGAAAAAAAAAAAAAAAAACAUUUGUUUGGUCAUGUAAGGAGUGUAAACAGUUCUUUGUUGCAGCACAGGUCUUGUGAUUUUUUAUUAACUUGUAAUGUUGGCUGCACCUGAAAUGCAGAAGCCAUCAAAUGAAAACUUGAAACCCAAACUACAGUGAUAGUUCAUGGUCCUGCUUAUCUUUUUUUUGGUGCUUAUUGCAGAGUAAGUCUCUAUUGAAGAAAGCACAUCCUUCAAGAUGAGGGAUUCUGUUAGGGGCCAGGACUGUGCCAACUUUUGAUUUUGAAGGCUUUAUUGCCCCUUUCUGAGUCGCAUAUAAGUUGUCACUCGCUCACAAGUAGCACCAACAGAGUGGCAUGAUGUGCUAGUGUUAGUAAGCUUUUCUGCAGAGAAACUUAAGUUGACCAAACUUCAUUUUAUUUCAUAUUUGAAUGCGAUAUAAUUAGCUUUUGCCCUCAGAAACUGGCUUUCCUUUGGCAUAGCUGUGGCACCAGCCACAUCCUAUGUUUGUCGUCUUGUCUUCGAAAGCACUGUUUGCUACAGAUGUGAUGAAGUGACCAUAUUGGAGUAGUAUUUAUAACUUUAGCUUGACCUAAUGCUUCUAACGUCAAUAUGCAUUGUUGUACACAUGUGAAUAGUGCAAAUACUAAUCCAUUGGGUAUGGCUGACUGGUGCAAGUCUUUUUUUUUUUUUACCUUGAAAAGCUGUUUGACUGGUUGUAUUGCUCGAAAUUUUGUUCAUGUACAGUCUCACAUGUGGCACAAACACAGCCAGUUUCACUGUGUUUGAGAUGUUGUAUUCAAAUGUUUGACGUUCCCGAUAAAACUGCUCAUAAACUGCAGCAGGGCAGCCUGUUUCCAUUUGGCUUCUUUACAAACCCAGUUUCUCAGUUUUAAAACCAUGCGGUAUAAGACUAUGUAACAAUGAUUGAGUCUUCCAAAAUGCGUAACUUCAUUGCAGUUGCAGUCUUUCCUUAUGAAAUCUAAAUGAGGAGCUAUGUAGAGGCAUGUGUUUUCAUGAUGUCUUUGAUAGCCUGGACUGAAGGUUCAUUUUCCGGGGGAAAAAGAAAAUAUUGGCACUUUCUGGCACAGAAAUUUUGCUGGUUAGCAUAACUAUGUGGGUUUCGUCCUGCAAGCAUAAAUGCGUUGAUUGAAUGUACUUCUGACGUGUAAAUGAACAGAAAACAGCACUUGCCUGAAAGGGUGCUCGUUGAGGAUAACUCUCCUCCCAACUAUUGCAGCUAUGAUGAGCACAACCUCAAUGUAUGUAUGUAGAAAGUUGUAAAUAUGGUGCAGUUCCACCCCUUUUCCCCUGUUUGAGAAGUGAAGUAUGCGCUUGUUAU
rnacentral:misc_RNA from 1 species